rnacentral:rRNA from 1 species
ACGAACGCUGGCGGCGUGGAUAAGACAUGCAAGUCGAACGAGAGAAUUGCUAGCUUGCUAAUAAUUCUCUAGUGGCGCACGGGUGAGUAACACGUGAGUAACCUGCCCCCGAGAGCGGGAUAGCCCUGGGAAACUGGGAUUAAUACCGCAUAGUAUCGAAAGAUUAAAGCAGCAAUGCGCUUGGGGAUGGGCUCGCGGCCUAUUAGUUAGUUGGUGAGGUAACGGCUCACCAAGGCGAUGACGGGUAGCCGGUCUGAGAGGAUGUCCGGCCACACUGGAACUGAGACACGGUCCAGACACCUACGGGUGGCAGCAGUCGAGAAUCAUUCACAAUGGGGGAAACCCUGAUGGUGCGACGCCGCGUGGGGGAAUGAAGGUCUUCGGAUUGUAAACCCCUGUCAUGUGGGAGCAAAUUAAAAAGAUAGUACCACAAGAGGAAGAGACGGCUAACUCUGUGCCAGCAGCCGCGGUAAUACAGAGGUCUCAAGCGUUGUUCGGAAUCACUGGGCGUAAAGCGUGCGUAGGCUGUUUCGUAAGUCGUGUGUGAAAGGCGCGGGCUCAACCCGCGGACGGCACAUGAUACUGCGAGACUAGAGUAAUGGAGGGGGAACCGGAAUUCUCGGUGUAGCAGUGAAAUGCGUAGAUAUCGAGAGGAACACUCGUGGCGAAGGCGGGUUCCUGGACAUUAACUGACGCUGAGGCACGAAGGCCAGGGGAGCGAAAGGGAUUAGAUACCCCUGUAGUCCUGGCAGUAAACGGUGCACGCUUGGUGUGCGGGGAAUCGACCCCCUGCGUGCCGGAGCUAACGCGUUAAGCGUGCCGCCUGGGGAGUACGGUCGCAAGAUUAAAACUCAAAGAAAUUGACGGGGACCCGCACAAGCGGUGGAGUAUGUGGCUUAAUUCGAUGCAACGCGAAGAACCUUACCUGGGCUUGACAUGUAAUGAACAACAUGUGAAAGCAUGCGACUCUUCGGAGGCGUUACACAGGUGCUGCAUGGCCGUCGUCAGCUCGUGUCGUGAGAUGUUUGGUUAAGUCCAGCAACGAGCGCAACCCCUGUUGCCAGUUACCAGCACGUGAAGGUGGGGACUCUAGCGAGACUGCCCAGAUCAACUGGGAGGAAGGUGGGGACGACGUCAGGUCAGUAUGGCCCUUAUGCCCAGGGCUGCACACGUACUACAAUGCCCAGUACAGAGGGGGCCGAAGCCGCGAGGCGGAGGAAAUCCUGAAAACUGGGCCCAGUUCGGACUGUAGGCUGCAACCCGCCUACACGAAGCCGGAAUCGCUAGUAAUGGCGCAUCAGCUACGGCGCCGUGAAUACGUUCCCGGGUCUUGUACACACCGCCCGUCACAUCAUGGAAGCCGGUCGCACCCGAAGUAUCUGAAGCCAACCGCAAGGAGGCAGGGUCCUAAGGUGAGACUGGUAACUGGGAUG